GACAGAAACCCCCUUCCCAAGCUGUUAACUUAAGAAAAUAAGAAUUUUCUUGGUGGUUUGUCAAGUUUUGGAUGCCAAUUUCAAGAAAAACCUAACCUACUCAAGGAACAACCACAUAAAAGGAUUUAAUCAAACUCAAUUGGGAGGUGGUGGUUUCAAGUUUGUUUUGGUGGCAGCCCUGAAAUAGAUGAGGGUACAUCUCAGCAUUAGUUAUGGACUAGACGGUUGGCUGGCGCAAUCCUGAAAACUGAG